GAUGAACGCUAGCGGCAGGCUUAAUACAUGCAAGUCGAGGGGCAGCGGGAGUAGCAAUACUUGCCGGCGACCGGCGCACGGGUGCGUAACACGUAUACAAUCUGCCUCCAACAUGGGGAUAGCCCGGAGAAAUUCGGAUUAAUACCCAGUAACAAAUUUAUGGCAUCAUAGGAUUUUGAAAGCUACGGCGGUUGGAGAUGAGUAUGCGUCUGAUUAGUUAGUUGGUGAGGUAACGGCUCACCAAGACCACGAUCAGUAGGGGAUCUGAGA
rnacentral:rRNA from 1 species